UUCUACUCAGACAGUUCUCGCAUCCUAAUCAUCUCUAGCAUGUGAGUGAUUUUAUCUAUACAUUAUCCACUUAUUAUAUACAUGAAUUCUAAUUUCCAGUUGCAAGAUGUUGAUAAGUGAAACACUGUCAAUGGCUGAUCCUUGAACUUAUCAACAACAAAAAAAAUGGUAGAUCCUUCAACUUAUACUAAUAUGAUGAACAAAAUAUUCCAGUUCAGAUUCAGUUACUAUAUGCUGCUAUGCCAAUAGCUAGGGACUUCAGUUUGCCUGUUUAGAGGCUUAUUACCAUUGACUUUACUGCUUUGUGUGCUAUUUAACUUAUCAAAAAGCCUUGUUUUUAGUAUAACUCUGUUAGGUUCUAUGUCAGUUUCAUUGCUGAUAUGAACAAUUAAGAUUACUGGACAAUGUGUUACUCUCAAUGUAGCUAGAGUUCUAACCAGCUGAAGCUAGCAGAUGCGAAUUUUUAUUUCGAAUCAGCGUGAGGAUGGUCGGACCGUGGCAAGGCAUUUUUCUAUUGGUUAAAUGAUGGAUCAUCAAUCUUACACGACAAUAAUAUUCUCUGUUGUAGGCAAUGUGAGAUAUGUGGUUCCCGAACAAUAUAGAGCUGCCAAGGUGGCACUGAAACAGCAUAUGCAUAAAUCAUCUUUUUAGAGGGAACAUGGUUUGAUGAACCAAGAUGUUGAUUAUGGAUGUUCAAAUGAAAUUCAGCCAUGGGCUUGCUUAUUGACGUUGAAGUUUGUCUGAAGUAGUCACUCAAGAAUAAUGUGGAGCACUCCCCAGUAGCACAAGUAACCUUUACAUACUUGUGAACUAUCCAUAAGCAACUCCAGAUCCACAACACUAUCUAGGAGUCCUGGAAGCACCAGAUUCAGCUUCAAAGGAAAACUGAUUUGGUGGGUGUGAUAAGAAGACAGAGACAAAGACAACCCUUGUCCAUUGUGGAUCCAUACAGAGAUGUUGUGAAGUUGAAGAUGAUACAUAACCCAUCAAAUUCACACUCUCUUCAUUAUUCACAUCACAAUUUGAGGAGCUUUGAUUGGGGAUGCUUGACUUGUUGAACCCUUUUCAACUCCUGCCUAAAAAUUCUUGCAUUGAAGUCAACUCACAAGUAUUUUUUUUCCUUCAAUUGUAUCUACUUUAUAUUUGAAAUAUAUACUUACAUGAG